UUUCCCAGCAAACUCACCUGCACUCGAUUUUCAGAACGAGACCCAUUUCCACCAUUUUUUCCUCUCAAAAUUCAUUCCUCAAAAUCCUCUCUUUAACUCCUAAAAUCCAAAUUCAGAAAUAGAUUCAUCUUAAAAUCCUCCGUUUCCCUAUAGAUUCAUCUCAAAGAUAGACCAAAAUACCCAAAUUUGAAAAUCAAUUUUAUGGUCGAGUCGAAGAAGCUGUCCAAACGAAGCUAGGUUUCGUGAAACAAACGCGAUUCUUGAUUGUAGAGGUUCUUAAAAAAGGGAGAUUGUUGUUGCAUGUCUUCUGAUUAUUCUGAGAGGGAGGGACAAAUGAAUUAUAAAGAUCCUCCACCUCCAACCAUAAGAUUGUGGAUUCGAGUCACCAAAGUAGGAAAAGGCCAACUCUAUUAGAAAGAAGUGAUUCACUUUUAGGAAAAUUUGAAAAACUUUUUAGUGCAAAAGCUUUUCAACCUUUUUUGAAACAAAAAACACUUUCAGUUAGUAUUUGUUUGCCUUUCUCUGCCAGUAUGCAAACAAAGGGGUUGCCUCAAAAGUUGAGACAUGAUGUUAUAACAUGUGACAUUUGCUUGUGAAGACUGAAUCCAGCUUUUGUAACAUGACAGUUUGUCCUCCUCUUUUUGCUAUGUCAGGUAGUUUUUUUUCACUUGUAUUAUUAACGUUUUAACCCAGUGGAUGAUAGGGAUAUGUCUAGUGCUACAGCUGCGCUGCUUUCAUAUUGGUGAACUAUGACCUAGGACCACUUGUUUGCUGCUCGAAAUUCUUGCUUGUAGAGCAGAUAAAGUCCUUUUAAAUAAGGUUUUCUGUUAUAGAAUCUGAUUUGUAUUGUGACAAUCUUGGUAUUCUUACCACCAGAACAUGUUUCUCUAGUUUUGUUUGUCAUACUUGAUUAUUGAGAUUUUGUUUGAUCA